UAAUUUUAUUUCUUCAUUCAUUAUCAUUGCAUGCACUAGUACACGACUAUGAUUUGCUUUUUUAAUGUGAAAUAAUGGCAAUUGUUUGGAUAUUAUUAAUAACAUUACCAAUAUGCGCGGGAAAUGUUCAUCUUCAAGCUAUGAUGACACCGCUAAAUUUUGUGUACUACCCAUAUAAGGUACAAUGGAGUGCUGCAAGAGAUGUGUGUCAAAGUUUGGGCGGAGACUUAGCAACCAUAGACUCAGGUGUUGUAAUGGAUUCCAUAGUAUCUCGAGCUGUGGAAACUUACGGAGAAGAUAUAUUCGGUCUAGAUUACUGGGUUGGGCUGGUUCGACAAGGAAAUGAUCGUGUUUGGGUCGCAGAUUGCACAAACUUGACAUAUACCGCCAAUUUCGCUGAUGAUUAUAAUGUGCAAGAAGAAUGUUUCAGACACACACGUGGUGAUCACAUUUGAGUACAAAAGGACUGUUUUACAUCAUUAGCUUUCUUAUGCCAAGUUCCCUUAUCACAACCUUGCGAAAUCACAGAACAAGUUUAUAGCGAUGUAUUAUCUGUAACAUUUGGGAGGAAUACAAGUUGCGAGUCUUUAUGUUUUAAUGACCCUAAGUGCUGGGCGGCAGUGCAGUAUGUGCCAAGUAAUUGUGUACAGCUAGCUCUUCCUGGACAUGGUGUUGAAAGUUUUACUUUGGCAUCAAAAUCUUGCA